GAGGGUAUAGCUCAGUGUAGAAUGCAUGUCUACUGUGCAUGAGGUUGUGGGUUCAAUUCCCAGUAGCUCCA
rnacentral:tRNA from 1 species